CUUUAAGCAUACGUCUGUCGUCGGGAGGAGCAAACUCUGCUAAUGCCCGCAGCGUUCACUUCGUCGGAGGCUGCCCUACUGCUUUGUGUGACGCUAAGUCGGAAUGAGCUCCGACAUUCAACCUCGGCUAACUUACCAAAAACUAAACUCAAAUCAUAGGCAUCUCUGCCACGAGAGCAGAUGACGAAGUUUAAGGAACACAAACAAAGACGGUCGGAAUGUACAGAGGCUAUUGGAUCUCCAAUAGACGGCUGAGAGCCCGGAUCUGACGCAGACAGCCGAGAGCUCCGAACCGAAGCAGCCAGCUGACAACUACUCACAAUCAGAGGGCAUCAGUGGGAAUGAGACAUUAAAUGAUCAAGGCUAUGCAGAUGCCGGAUGCCAGACUGAGCUGAUGCUGGAUGACAUUGAGAAGAUGAAGGAUGUUCUGAGACAUAACACAACAGAGCUGAGAGAUCUUUGGACCAAACCACAAAGAUGACAAAGUUCUACACAGGGCUGCCCAACUUCUUAGUUUUAAUUCAGAUUUUUUAGCUGUGCGAACCCUUCAUCACAUGUGGUCGUAUGUCUGUGCUGUCUAAAUUUGAAUAGUUCAUUUUAGUUUGCUAAAUAAAUGUAAGAGCUGUCCAAAUUGAAAAUGACCUUCACUGACAUCUUAAAACACAUCAGUGCCCUUUGUUUUGCUUCAAAAUGCACACAAGUAAUGUUUUUAGUAAGGCAUGUUUGUUAAAACUAGUUAUAUUUCAUAAUUAAAAACUAAGGCCUAGUCCUGGCUGAAAGAUUUAGCUUGAAGAUUUAUAAAUGCCUGUUAUUUGCUGUGUCUUGUCUAAUCUUUGGGAGUCUGUCAUCCCAUUAGAGCAGUAAUUCUCAAAGUGUGGUCCGCGGACCACUAGUGGUCCGCCAAACCCCCCUAGUGGUCCGCCAAAAGAUGACCUAAAUUAGGCAAGUGUUUAUACCAGGGCUAUUCAAUUGGCGGCCCGCGGGUCAGACCCGGCCCCCAAGGUAAUUUGAUCCGUCCCUUUAUGUAGUCUGUAAAAAAGACAUCUCUAGAAUAAAUUUAGUAAGUUAGACAACGGGCCCUACAGUUACGAGUUGAUGCGCGUGCGUCUGUUUCAUACAGCAUGAGCUGCAGAGCGCGAGUCACGUGACUGGUGCGAGCAGCUGUGUCACGUGUUUAUAUUCGCGCUUUGGUCCACAAGUUCAACGCGAUCACCUCCCCCCCUCGCGCCCGCUUCUCAAGACGCGAUAGCUGACUGUGGUGAGUUAAGAGACCGGACUCUAUGGCUGUUUUAACUUUAUUGGUUGUAUUUCCAGCUUUAAAACACUGCCUUUUCCGACAAUUGUUGUCUGAUAAGUCUGCUCAAUUAUGACUUGCUUAUCAACAAUGACAUUUACGUUACAUGUCUUAAUAAAUGAAACUGCCGUUUUUCCAAAAUUCAAAGCAUCGUUCUCACACAAUAAUGCAAUUUAAACGAGUAAUGCGGCUUUCACAUAGGAUGCGGUGUGCGCUGCACUCGCCGCUGGGUUCGGCGCAGCCAAGCGAUUGUGCUCUGAUGGCCAGACCAAAGUAGGCGGGGUUUUCAAUAAAUUACUACAGUGUUUAUAUUUACGUUAAAUAGUCGACGAGGAAUACAGAGACUGAUGUUGCUCAUCUCCAUUUCACGUAACUUUAAGCAUACCUACAACAAGCUGCUUGACUUAAACCACACCUAACAUGUCAACUUGAAUUGCUUACGUGUUUCCAUGACACGGCUUUCCUUCCGAUGUCUCUGUAGGAGCAUAAACUUGUAUUAUAAAGCUCUGAGAAUCCCGAGUAUAAGCUUUCGUCCAUUUUGCUUGUUUGGA